GUGGCCGCAGGCCAAGUCAGCCAGCAGCAUUCCACCCGUGCGCAGGCCAGCACAGAGCAGGAGUGGGGGAGAUAAGAGCUUAUCCAGAUGUGGCAGAGCUUGGACUUCAGGAGGCAAAGACCGAGAGCUCUCCAGCCAGUGCUCCAUCACUGCAAACACACAGUGCACCCUGCAUGGUAAAUAAGAAAAAUACAGCAUCAAACGGCUUCUUUCUCCGCUGCUCUUCUGAAGUGCUAAUCUAACAAACUACACUGAAGAGUUAGAACUCAACUUCUUUUAAAUACAGACCUAAAGAGCAGAUCCUUAAAACGGCACACGCAAAUCGGAGGAUGGUAUGAGAGAGCCAUGGCUCCACUGGGUGACCCUGCUCCCUGGCUGAAGGUGGCGCUGUUGCUGCUCCUGCUCUUUUUGUCCGCAUGUCUGUGCGCGUGCCCCAGGUCCUGCAGCUGCCCCAACCCGAAAGAGGUGCACUGCACCUUCCGCCAUUUGCCCUCGCUCCCGCGCAACCUGCCUAAGGACACAGAGAGACUGAACCUGGGCUAUAACAGUAUUGCCGCUGUGGGGCCCUUGGAUUAUGAAAAGCUGCGCCAACUUGAGAUGCUUAUGCUGCAUGGGAACGACAUCACGUCUGUGGCUUCAGGAUCCUUUUACCACUUACGUUACCUCCAGAUAUUAAAGCUGAGCUACAACAAGCUAAAGACAAUAGACCAUGGCAUGUUCAAAGGGAUGAGCAGCCUAGUGCGUCUGCACCUGGACCACAAUCUAAUUGGCUUCAUCGAGCCGUUCUCCUUCACUGGGCUACCAUCACUCAAGCUCCUCCAGCUGGAGGGCAACAUGUUGCACGACCUCCACCCACACACAUUCACCACCCUCUCCGUCCUGGGCACCUUCUGGGGUUCGGGCCUGCGUCACCUUCACCUCGCGGGCAACCAACUAGAGUACUUUCUGCCCGGCACGCUUCAGCACCUGAGCAGGCUGGAGCUGCUCUCCCUGCACAGCAACCCCUGGAUAUGCGACUGCCACAUCCGUUGGCUCUUAGAGUGGGACAAGAAACACGAGGGUGUGAUUAAGUGCAAGAAGGACCAGGAUGCUAUUGCUGGUGAGAACUGUGCUGCAUGUGCCUCACCACAGCCCCUCAACAGCAGCCAGGUUCUCCAGCUCUCAGCCCAGCAGCUCUCAUGCAACAGACCUUCAAUCCUCUCCCCGCUGAGGACAGCCGAGGGUGGCACCUGGGAGGACCAGGAGCCUGAUGUCCCUUAUGUCAAGGACCUAGAGCAUCCACUGGGCCACUUGACAUUCACACUGUCCGACAGCCAUGGGAAUAGAGCCCAUGUCGCCUGUGACGUUACACGGCCAACUGAAGGGACCUUGAUAGCAUGGGAACAGCUGAAGGGGUCAAGGGUGGUGGAGGCAAAUGUGACCCUGCUCUCUCUGCUUGAAUGUGAAAUCGACAGGGAUGCUCUCCAGAACCUGUGGAGACUAGUUGCGUACUACUAUGAGAGCCCAGCCAUACUGGUACAAGGAGCAAGGCUCGAGAACACUUCAAAGGCAACCUUUCAGUACUUCCAGGCCACAAGUGAAGACUCACCUUACUUUACUGAACUCAAAGGGCAUUUAAUGGCUGAUCCGGACUGGCUUCUGCAACCCAGGGUUACUCUUCAGUUGAAUCGACGCAAGACCACAACAAAAAAGCUAGUGUUGAACUUCUCUACUUUUAUAUCAAAGCACAUCAGUGAAAGAGGAGAGCAGGAAGACAAAGUCUCCUCCUGGGCUCUUAUCCUGAGAGGAACCCCAAGAAGGAUUCAGAUAGCACUGGAACACUCUGAGGUCACUCUUGACUGUAAUGUGCUUAGCUCUGGACAUCAAUCAAUGGAGUGGAUGCUUCCAGAUCUGACCACUUUAGAAAAGACUGAUUCUCACAGAAUUGUGUCUGAGCAUAACAGAUUAGUCAUCAAAAACACAAGCCUGUCAGACAGUGGGCUCUAUCACUGUUUUGUGCGGACUGAGACAGAUGUGGACAUAAUUUCCUAUAGGCUCACUGUCAGGGAACGUCUUCUUAGCCCCAGUGACUUAAAUGGAAAGAAGAUGUCUGUGGACUAUGGGGAAUCACUCAUUCUUCCCUGUUCAGUUACUUCACCUCAGCCAGUUGAGACCAGAUGGAUCCUACCAAAGCAUGAGAUUCUAAAUGCAUCUGAUGCAAAAGGAAGAAUCCAUGUGUCACAAAAUAACACUUUGAUCAUUAAAAACGUGUUGGAUGAGGAUACUGGGGAAUAUAGCUGUUUAGCAGCUAACCUUCAUGGGGUGGAUAUGUUAUCUCACAUGGUUGUUGUAGCAAGUAAAAAAGAGGAAGACUCUUCAGUUAGUAGUGUGGUGGAAGGGGAGUCACACUUUCUUCAUAGUGAGGACACAGAAGGUUCAGGAUACCAAGAAAUCAAGUACCCAACUGCGAAACAAACUCCUCAGAGAACAGAUGGAAAACACAGAGGUUCAGGUGGAGUCCAUCGACGGGGCUUUAAAGGAAAGCGCAUCAAGGAGCAACCAAACAAAUAUGUCAAGGAGUUUGAUCCAGAUCGCUGGCCACAAAUAUUUGUAAAAGCUAACGCUAAAGUAUCUACUGUGCAGCCAGCAACAAUUAUCACAACACAAGGAGAGACCACAACUGUGAAAAUAACAACUCCUGCUCCUAUGAGUCCUUAUCCCACUACUGCUUUUGAAUUUAGGUCUAGCAGUGCUACCAGUAGUGCCCAUAAAUAUUAUUUCAGUUCCAAGCAGCUUGUACAAGCCCCUCACAGAGAGCAUACAGACUACAGUUCAGCAGAGCAAGAACAAAUACAUCAAAAAUCUGUUAACAGGUUUAACACUCCGAGUUUAGCUUCAGUUCACCUCUCAACCACAUUGUCCCCUAUAAAUUCAAAUUUGGCACAUGUGACACAACCAGAAAAACAGACAGACAUUCACUUAAUAGAGGAGAGAAUAAGGGCAAAUAGCAAUCCCACCCUGAACCAAAGACGGAGGCCUCCAUACAGAAGAAGACUUCCACCAAGAAGGCCACGACCACAGAAACCUAUGCACCCCCCACCCACCACAACAAAAAUAACACUCACAACUUCAUCUUCCACAGCAGCUCCUUUAUCUCCCAUGUCCAGUUUUUUUCAAAUGAACAAUAAAAACACAGGGAGUAGACCUGUGACAGAUUCUGAGAUUCUGAGUGAACUCGAUCCUCGUAUUAAAAACCCUGUAAAUGUGACAGUAAUAGAGAUGUCUCCUCAACUUAAUAAAAAAACAAAACUAUCACAUGAAGGAAAAUUAGUUAAAAAUCAGGAUAAAAACAAAUAUAAUGGGUCAGUUGAGCUCAUGAUUACAGCUCCUAUCACACUUGCACCCAUGCAAAAUAAGUGGUAUAAACAUGAAAACAGGGAAGAUAUUGGCUGGACAAGUAACAGAACAAAUAAAAAUAAAUACAUACAAAGGAUAAUAACUACAAGCUCUCCUAGUAUUCAGAUAACCAAUACUAAACUUUCUAUAACAGAGAAAGAUCCACUAACCACAGAGAAACCAGCCUUGAUUAACAUCAGUAGAAAGAAUGUAGAUAACUCAGCAGUCAAGCCUGAGAUUCCUGAGUUGCCUAUCCACCCAUGGCUAACCCAGAGAAGAAACCAAAUCUCACCUGUGUCCAGGACUUAUACUCCUUCUCCCUUCUGGACUUACACCAACCACAUCCCAGUCUGGCCCACGAUUCAUGGAUCAAGGCAGCACUCUUCAUCGGACAGAAUAUGGCAUUUACCACACACAAAGGAAAGGAGACUAGGGAUCACUAACCGACCUGAAAUCACAGCACAAACUGCAAAGCCCACUGCUUACAUCCCCUGGUCAGCAGUGACAGCCUUGCCCCUAACCGUAGCACCACACAGCAGCACAUCCUCUCGAGUAAGAGAUUACUUGCUCCUAAGUAGGCUUCGAAACAAAUACCGGCAAUCCCAGCUUGAUGCUUACCGUUUAGUCCAGCUGGGAAAGCCAGUUACUCUCAAACCAAGGACAUACCAGCCCACCCCAAGGCCUCAUCCAGCUCCAAAUUUCCCAAGCAUCCACAAGCCUGUGACAUCCCCUUCUGUGGUAGCAGCAACAAGCAAGCCACACACCACAGCCAGCAUACUGUAUGGGAGUCGCUGGCACUACAGUCAAUUUGGAACAAAGAAGUUGAGCACUGCAUUGCCCUUUCCAGACCUGUUGGGUAGUGGCGCGAAACCCAGGAUCAUUGCAACUGACACGGUCAGUGUGUCUGCACUAGCAGAAGCAAAUGUUCUCCUGCGCUGUCAGUCAUCAGGGGACCCUAAGCCUGCUAUCUCCUGGACUAAAGUCUCUACAGGUGCUACAAUUCAAGCCAGCACAAAACAUGGACAAAGAUUUGAGGUUCUUCCAAAUGGUACUUUUGUUAUAAAGAAUGUCCAGCUGCAGGACCGAGGCCAGUACCUCUGUACUGCACAAAAUAAAUUUGGCUCAGAUCGUAUGGUGCUCACUCUUGCCAUACAAACAGAACCUCCCAAAAUACAGGGCCCCAAACACAGAGACAUCUCUGUCUACCUGGGUAAGCCAAUCAGCUUGGACUGUACUGCAGCUGGCAAGCCGCAAGCCCAGGUCUCCUGGAUUCUACCGGACAGAACUUUUGUACGAGAGAUAGUUGUUCUUGACAGACCUAUAUCACUUUUUCCCAAUGGAACCCUCAGAAUUAGAUAUGCAAACUUUUCCAGCAAAGGAGACUACAAGUGCAUUGCUAGUAAUGCAGCAGGUGCUGAUACCCUGACCUACCACCUGCAUGUUGCUGCACUGCCACCAACAAUCAAUGAGGAGGCCUCAGAAAGUAUAUCCCUUAAUGCUGGCCGAAGCAUUUAUGUGCACUGCACAGCCAAAGGUGAGCCUGAGCCUCUCCUUAAGUGGGUUCUUCCUGACAGUUCACAAAUGAAACCAACACAAUUCAUUGAGAGGCGCCUCUUUGUAUUCCCCAACGGCACACUUUAUGUCAAAAGUGUCUCACCCACGGACACAGGGAGGUAUGAGUGCUUGGCUGCAAACGUGGUCGGCAUCACUAAGAGAGUGGUGGAGCUGGAUGUUCAGCAGGAGGCUGUUGGUCCCUGGAAAGGUCUGGUUCAGCAGCACCAUGUCUCAGCCAUGUAUGGGUCCAUGGUUUUCCUGCAUUGCCCUGAGUCCACACGUUCCCACAGAGGCACUGUCUGGAGGCUGCCAUCUAGAGCUCUACUGGAGCCCCGCCAAAGUCCUCAGAGACACAUAACUGCUUUCUCUAAUGGCACUCUCAGGAUCCUGCAGUUGACUGAAAAAGAUGGUGGCAGUUACCUUUGCAUGUACCAAAAGCCCAAUGGAGAGGAAAUUGAAUUGUUUCAGCUGGAGGUCCUCAUGAAACCACCCAAGAUAGAGAACAUAGGCACUCCACAAAAGAGAGUCACUAAUGGAGACAACUUCCUUGUGGAUUGUGUAGCUUCGGGUCUUCCAGACCCAGAAGUAUCAUGGAGUCUGCCUGAUGGUACAGUGAUAAACAAUGCUCUGCAAUCAGAUGACAGCGGAACACGCAGUCGUCGGUACACUAUCUUUGGUAACGGCACUCUCCUGUUGCAGCAAAUGGGGGAAAAUGAUGAAGGCGAUUAUACAUGCUAUGCAAAAAACACACUGGGGGAGGAUGCAAUGAAGGUGAGUGUUGAGGUGAUCCCAAAUUCCCCCCAGAUUUCCUCCAAAGACCACAUGUCUCUUUGGGCUUCUCUUGGCCAAUCAGUUCAGAUGAAGUGUGAUGCUACAGGUGAACCUGUACCCACUAUUAUCUGGAUUUCACCAAACAAUGAGAUAAUAACCUCGUCUUCAGUUAAAUAUCAAAUAUUGAAUGAUGGGACACUGAUCAUAAAAAAGGUGACUUUGGCAGACCAGGGAAAGUAUGCAUGUGUCGCACGGAACUCAGCUGGUGAUGACAUUAAGAAUGUGAAUCUCCAAGUGGAAGUCCGCGAGCCACAUAUCAAUGGAAAAAGAGGACAAACAGCCAGUAAAAUUUUGGCAGUCUCCUAUCAGACUCUGUUGCUGCACUGCACUGCUGAGGGCAUGCCUGAGCCACAGGUAACAUGGACCACAUCUUACGGUAUGUCUCUGCCCACACCAUACGUUGGGGGCAGGUUCCAAGUCCACAAGAAUGGAACUCUUGAACUACGAGGCCUCCGGAAAACUGACGAAGGUAAGUUUCUCUGUGUGGCCAAAAAUUAUCUGGGAGAGGCAAGUCUAGUAAUUGAUCUCGAAGUUGCAUCACUUGCUGAAAAGCCAAGCUUCCCAGUGCCAAACAUUGAGGUUUUACCCCUCAAACUAGAUGGAGAUGACAUUACUUUGAAAUGCCAGGCUGUAGGGAGACCAAAGCCAGAGUUUGUUUGGAUUCUGCCCAACACUACAGUGCUGGCUUCAGGCAUGAAACUUAAGAGGUUUAUCCACUCCUCGGGAAAUGGGACUUUGUACAUUAUUCAACCAGUGCCAAGUGACAAAGGGGUUUAUCGCUGUCUGGCCAAAAAUGUAGCAGGACAAGCAGAAAAGCGCUAUGCUUUAGAACCCGGAAAGAAGCCCCAAAUUCGAAGUACAGCUUCAUCUAUGAAGAUUUCACUUGGACAAACACUCAGCAUGCCAUGCACAGUGGAUGGCUGGCCCCAAGCAACCAUCACUUGGACUCUCCCAAAUGGUCUGGUAUUGGACAGGCCUCAGGUUAUUGGAAGAGUCACUUACUUAUCAAAUGGAACACUUCAUCUUAGAGAAAUUGCAAAGUUUGACAGAGGAACGUACACUUGCAAAGCCACUAACAUGUUUGGAUCGUCAUCACUGUCAUAUCCUGUAACUAUUAUGGUGUUUCCACCACAGAUCACUAAUCCACCACCAUCCAUAAUAAGAGUUGCAAAGGGGUCUCCAGUAACACUAAACUGCAUUGCUGCAGGUAUUCCUAAACCAGACAUUUCUUGGACUCUACCAGGACGCACCACACUUGUGCCCAACAAUCGCUUCACUGCAUUAGGUGGAAUUCACAUGACCAAGGAUGGCAGUUUGGUAAUACAGGAUCCCAGCCUAAUGAACUCAGGGAUUUAUAAAUGCAAUGCCAAAAAUGCCCUGGGUACAGACUUCAAAGCAACAUACCUUCAAGUGAUCUGAAUGUGUGGAGUAGAGAGAUAUUUGAAGUUCAAAUACUUCAAGGUACGUGCACAUCAUCCUUGUAAACAAAUGUAAAUAGAACCUAAAAUGACUUCAGCUGCAUUUAAAGUUAAUAACACAACCUAAGGAAUUUUCACAUGGGCAUUAUUCCUCCUUCAUGAGUGUGUAAAGAAUUUUGUUACAGCCAUGGGAUUGGAACCAACAAGCUAAAGUUCCAGUAACGUAUGAAUUUUAAACUUCUGUAUACAUAAUUUAAAGAAAUAUUGGUUUGUACAUAAAAUUAUAUAUUCAAAUGUUUGAAACAUAUAUGCUUGUGUUUUGAUAAUGUAUGAAAAUGCAUAUUUUUAAAUUGGAAAUCAGAUGCGAUUUGAAGGGAAAAUAGGCAAAAUUGUUGUUUGUAUGCAGAGUAAAUGUACAUCUAAUAUAUACCCACAAGAUUCUAUGCAUUUUCAUUCAGAACAAAACAGCCUUUCACUGUCAGAGUAGAAGGGAGCCUUGUAUGGCACAAAUGUUAGCAUUGUUCUGAUAUCCGCACCAAAGAUGAGACACAAGCGGCCAGUUCUACAAACUGAUUAGUUACUGACACACUGGGUGCAGGUAUGGGACACCGCAGGUCAGGAGCGCUUCCGAAAGAGCAUGGUGGAGCACUACUACCGCAAUGUACAUGCUGUCGUUUUCGU